UGUUGUAGUUGUGCAGUCGUUGUGGUGGCUGUUUGUGUUGUCGUUGUGUUGUUAUUUGUUGUAGUUACGUUGGUUUAUAAAAGAAGAGAUGUUGUUGAAUUAGUUUGGCAAGAGUUAAGUUUAGUUAGUUCAAAUCUACGAUUUAGAAUUAUGAUUUGAGGAUUAUGAAAUGAGGAUGCUAAAGGUUAAUAAUUUCUUAAUUAGAAUUGGUUAUGGUUUUAGUUUGUAGUUGAGGUAGUUUUUUAUUAUUGUUAUUAUUUUGAGGUUAAUGUUGGAGAAUCGUUAUGGAAUUCAAGAGAGUUGAUGGAGUUGUGAAGUUCUCAAAGUUCUUAUUGUCGGAGCUAAGGGAUUAGAUUGCAGUUCAGGUUUGAUAUCAAGAGCUCGAGAAUGGAAGUGGAGCAAGAUUAUGGUGUCGUCCUAGAUUAAGGAUUGAGUUUGUAUAUAGAUAGCUGAUUUGAGAAUAGUUAUUUAUGUUUCGUUGUAUAUGAUAUUUGAGAAUAUUAUUGGAGAUAUUGGUGUAUUUAA